CAGGUACAGAGGGAUGCUACCGGGCGACCGGAUGCGGAUCUCGAAAGCCUGUCCCAGUUCGGACUGGAGUCUGCAACCCGACUCCACGAAGUUGGAUUCGCUAGUAAUCGCGCAUCAGCCAUGGCGCGGUGAAUACGUUCCCGGGUCUUGUACACACCGCCCGUCACACCAUGGGAGCCGGGAAUGCCCGAAGUCGGUGACCUAACCUUUAAGGGGGGAGCCGCCGAAGGCAGGUCUGGUAACUGGGGUGAAGUCGUAACAAGGUACC
rnacentral:rRNA from 1 species